rnacentral:lncRNA from 1 species
UACAGUUAUCAGUCAAAUUAGUAGAUAAUAAAUUUAUUUUAUGAAUAAAUGAUUCAAUCAUUAAACUCUAAAAAAAAGUUUGGAUGUGUAACCUGAUAUGCCGGAUCCUCGUAAUGCCGGCAUAUGACAGUCCAAUCAUCCAUAGUGAUGCUGUCAUAGGGCUACUGUCGUGCUGCCUCCUUCUUAUAAUCCUGCAUCACAUGGUACCAAUGCUGAUGCAUGUGAUGGCGAUAAUGCUUGAAACACAAUGAUAAAUGAAUGUCCACGGCUCGCCUCACACGAUCCUCCUCAAAAUCAAUGAUAUCAAAUACAUCAUGCCAAUAACAAAUAUUAAAAAAAUACUAUAUAAAUUAAAUAUUCAUAAUAUAAUUUAUUUUACUUAUAAGUGGGUGUAGAAAAUCUCUCUCUGAGCGAUAGAACAUGAUG